UACAGAGGUCUCAAGCGUUGUUCGGAUUCAUUGGGCGUAAAGGGUGCGUAGGCGGCGCGGUAAGUCGGGUGUGAAAUCUCGGAGCUUAACUCCGAAACUGCAUUCGAUACUGCCGUGCUUGAGGACUGGAGAGGAGACUGGAAUUUACGGUGUAGCGGUGAAAUGCGUAGAUAUCGUAAGGAAGACCAGUGGCGAAGGCGGGUCUCUGGACAGUUCCUGGACGCUGAGGCACGAAGGUCAGGGAGCAAACGGG
rnacentral:rRNA from 1 species